CUGAGAACAGUGCUACUUUUAUUUUCCAGAAACAAGGUUUGGAAUGUCACUACUUCUCCGUGAGCGGAAUUCCAUAACCCACCAGCUCCCAGGAGAUGGUUUGAAUUCCACUGAAGAAGUGAAUUUUACCAGGCGCUGGGGAUAAAGCCAAAAAGAAGCAUUAGAAAUACGUACGUAAAAAAUGGGAGAGAAGAUGUUGCUCCUAACUUGAUAAUGCACAGAUGCUAGCACUGCUGUGUAAAAUU
rnacentral:lncRNA from 1 species